rnacentral:lncRNA from 1 species
GGCGUGGAGAUGAGAGCUUUGGCUAUUAUUUGCUAGCUGCUGUCUUCGGUUUGCUGCGGCAUUUGCGCGAGCAGUUGGUGCGCUGGUUCUCAGAUUUGGGUUGGGGAUAAUGCGGUCUGUUCUGACUGGUGGAUGGCGAGUCAGGUCUUGAGCGAGGGUCAGGGGAUGUCGUCCAACUUGAGGAUGAUGUCCAUGAUUGUGGAGUUCAUGGUGGGCCGUAUUGCUUGG